rnacentral:lncRNA from 1 species
UGGGGCUUUUACCAUAGUAGCUACUCACUCAUAACUCCCUCUAACGCAGGGAAGUAAUCCCGAAAACGAAACUAUAGUCGCUAACCAUCUGGUGAAUUUUGAACUUUCGGGGCAUUGACUCAGACCAGGAAAGCAUCCAAUUCUAGCAGCUAGAAUCAAGACUGAAAAUCUCGUCUAAUAAGAAGAGCGCUAAUUUCUGUCUUACAUCACG